CCGAAGAAGGACGCGAUAAGCUGCGAUAAGCCUUGGGUAGCCGCAAAUAGGCUGAGAUCCAGGGAUUUCCGAAUGAGGAAACUCACAUGGGUAACCCCAUGUAUCAUGCACUGAAUACAUAGGUGUAUGAGGGUAAACCCGGGGAACUGAAACAUCUAAGUACCCGGAGGAAGAGAAAGAAAAAUCGAUUUCCUAAGUAGCGGCGAGCGAACGGGAAAGAGCCCAAACCAGAAACUUGUUUCUGGGGUUG
rnacentral:rRNA from 1 species